GUGCUCUCUUCGGCAGCACAUAUACUAAUAUUGGAACGAUACAGAGAAGAGUAGCAAGACCCUUGCGCGAGGAUGACACACAAAUUCGUGAAGCAUUCCAUAUUUUU
rnacentral:snRNA from 1 species